UUACAAUUUGGAGAAGAAAUAAAUUCAGACAGUUAUCUGUCCUGGGACCUGCUGAUGCAAUGUCAAGUGAGCAUUUAGCACUGUUUGACAUAAAAAGAUUAUGUAUGAACUGAG